UACGUAGGGCGCAAGCGUUGUCCGGAAUUAUUGGGCGUAAAGAGCUCGUAGGCGGUUUGUCGCGUCUGCCGUGAAAGUCCGGGGCUCAACUCCGGAUCUGCGGUGGGUACGGGCUGGCUAGAGUGUGGUAGGGGAGAUCGGAAUUCCUGGUGUAGCGGUGAAAUGCGCAGAUAUCAGGAGGAACACCGGUGGCGAAGGCGGAUCUCUGGGCCAUUACUGACGCUGAGGAGCGAAAGCGUGGGGGAGCGAACAGG
rnacentral:rRNA from 1 species